rnacentral:pre_miRNA from 1 species
AUAAUACUCCCUCCGUCCGGAAUUACUUGUCAUCAAAAUGGAUGUGUCUAGAACUAAAAUACAUCUAGAUACAUCCAUUUCAAUGACAAGUAUUUUCCAACGGAGGGAGUAGUAU